rnacentral:tRNA from 1 species
ACAGCUGGUGGCAUAGUGGUUAGAGCUGCUGCCUUGGGUGCAGUGGGUCUGGGGUUUGAGUCCCCCUUGCGGUG